UGGCGGAACUCCUUUAUAUAAAUGGGCGAUUCAUCUCUUGUGAACUCAUGCCCAUCACUCACUUACUGUCUCUCUAUUUUGCAGAGGAACCCAAAACCAAAAGCCUUCCUUAGAUAUUAUUGCUACGCGUUCGUUCUUAUCUCCUUUCUUAACAGUAAUCAAAACCUUAUAUCCUUUUUGGUGGAUCAAGGAAAGUGAAAUAAUGGGUGCUCUUGAUCAUUUUUCUCAUCUCUUCGACUGCUCUCAUGGAAGUUCAAAGCUCAAGAAGCGCAAGCAAUUGCAGGUUUGUGUUGCUGGAUUUCUUCUUUUGUUUCUUUUUAAAGCUGGAAACUGUAAAUGGCUGAUGGGUAGUACAUAGUAGUAGAUCAAACGAUUUUCUUGGCUUGCUGAGAUCUAUUGAGAUCUGUAAGCUGCUCUAUAUCAUACAUGUUUUAGCAUGACCAAAAUGUAAGGGCAUUUUGGUCCAAUAAAUUUUCAUAAAACGACAAUCCAUUGAAAUCUAGUAUGUCUGGCCAGUGGCCACUGUGUCUGUGAUUUCUAAUCCUGUUUGUUUUGGCUUGAUUGGAAUAAUCAGACGGUGGAGAUCAAAGUUAGAAUCGACUGCGAAGGAUGCGAGCGCAAGGUGAAACGAGCAGUGGAAGGAAUGAAAGGCGUAAAACAAGUG
rnacentral:misc_RNA from 1 species